rnacentral:rRNA from 1 species
GAUGAACGCUGGCGGCGUGCCUAAUACAUGCAAGUCGAACGCUUCACUUCGGUGAAGAGUGGCGAACGGGUGAGUAAUACAUAUGUAACCUGGCAUCUACAGGGGGAUAACUGAUGGAAACGUCAGCUAAGACCGCAUAGGUGUAGAGAUCGCAUGAACUCUAUAUGAAAAGUGCUACGGGACUGGUAGAUGAUGGACUUAUGGCGCAUUAGCUUGUUGGUAGGGUAACGGCCUACCAAGGCGACGAUGCGUAGCCGACCUGGGAGGGUGACCGGCCACACUGGGACUGAGACACGGCCCAGACUCCUACGGGAGGCAGCAGUAGGGAAUUUUCGGCAAUGGGGGAAACCCUGACCGAGCAACGCCGCGUGAAGGAAGAAGUAAUUCGUUAUGUAAACUUCUGUCAUAGAGGAAGAACGGUGGAUAAAGGGAAUGAUAUCCAAGUGACGGUACUCUAUAAGAAAGCCACGGCUAGCUACGUGCCAGCAGCCGCAGUAAAAC